AAAAUGGUGUUUUUUAACACCAUUAUCUGAAAAUUAAAUGAAAUGU
rfam:Loxodonta africana unplaced genomic scaffold scaffold_28, whole genome shotgun sequence.